rnacentral:rRNA from 1 species
UACGAAGGGGGCUAGCGUUGUUCGGAUUUACUGGGCGUAAAGCGCACGUAGGCGGAUCUUUAAGUCAGAGGUGAAAUCCCAAGGCUCAACCUUGGAACUGCCUUUGAUACUGGGGAUCUUGAGUCCGGGAGAGGUGAGUGGAACUGCGAGUGUAGAGGUGAAAUUCGUAGAUAUUCGCAAGAACACCAGUGGCGAAGGCGGCUCACUGGCCCGGUACUGACGCUGAGGUGCGAAAGCGUGGGGAGCAAGCAGG